rnacentral:rRNA from 1 species
GACGGAAGGUGCAAGCGUUGCUCGGAAUCACUGGGCGUAAAGGGUGCGUAGGCGGCCGUGUAAGUCUGGCGUGAAAGCCCCGGGCUCAGCCCGGGAAGUGCGCUCGAAACUGCGCGGCUCGAGUGCCGGAGGGGAGAGUGGAAUUCCUGGUGUAGCGGUGAAAUGCGUAGAUAUCGGGAGGAACACCAGUGGCGAAGGCGGCAACCUGGGCCAAUAUUGACGCUGAGGUGCGAAAGCGUGGGGAGCAAACAGG